GCAGAAUGAAUCACAGCUCGUAGCAAACCCAGAGCAGGAGCACAGGGAACCUUGUAUCACCACGGUGCUUGGAGGAGAUGUCUUCGGAUGACAGGGCUUAAAGAAGAAAUGUAGCUUCCUCCCUGCUGGAACUGCGUGUUUCUGACAUCUCCACACUGAAGAAAUACUGUGAAGGCGUGAUCCAUCCAACCUGCAUAUACGAAUAUGAAGUUCUUCUGGAUAAUCCCAUUUUUGCUCCUGCAAGCUGAGGCAGAGCACCAGCACCACCCAACCACCCUGGCCAGCACACAGGUGGAUGAGCACACAGCUGGCAACAUUACCCUCCCACUGGGCUUGGAACGGGAAGAGCUGGAGGAGCUGCUCUGGUUCUUCCGC